rnacentral:rRNA from 1 species
UGCGGCGUGCCUAAUACAUGCAAGUCGAACGCACUCUCGUUUAGAUUGAAGGAGCUUGCUCCUGAUUGAUAAACAUUUGAGUGAGUGGCGGACGGGUGAGUAACACGUGGGUAACCUGCCCUAAAGUGGGGGAUAACAUUUGGAAACAGAUGCUAAUACCGCAUAAAACCUAACACCGCAUGGUGUAGGGUUGAAAGAUGGUUUCGGCUAUCACUUUAGGAUGGACCCGCGGUGCAUUAGUUAGUUGGUGAGGUAAAGGCUCACCAAGACCGUGAUGCAUAGCCGACCUGAGAGGGUAAUCGGCCACACUGGGACUGAGACACGGCCCAGACUCCUACGGGAGGCAGCAGUAGGGAAUCUUCCACAAUGGACGAAAGUCUGAUGGAGCAACGCCGCGUGAGUGAAGAAGGUUUUCGGAUCGUAAAACUCUGUUGUUGGAGAAGAAUGUAUCUGAUAGUAACUGAUCAGGUAGUGACGGUAUCCAACCAGAAAGCCACGGCUAACUACGUG